ACAGCAUCCUCAACUUCAGAAAUUCCCACAAGCACAGUUGUGAGUAAAGAAACCACACCUAUUACUUCAACAGUGGUGCCUACAACUUCAGAGAGUACAACAGCAGAAACCACGACUACAGCUUCAUCAACAAUUUCUACAACAACAAACAAUCCAACAUCAAAAGCUGUAACUUCAGCAUCCACAGCUCUCACUUCAACAACAGUGCCUGCAUCUUCAGAAACAACUGCACCUGUAACAACUUCAGUAACUACAGCAUCCUCAACUACUGAAAUUCCUACAACCACAGUUGUGAGUACAGAAACCACACCUAUUACUUCAACAGUGGUGCAUUCAACUUCAGAAAGUACAACACUAGAAACCACGACUACAGCUUCAUCAUCCACACCUGCAACAACAAACAAUCCAACAACAUCAACAGUUGUACCUUCAGAAUCCACAACUCUCACUUCAACAACAUUGCCUACAUCUUCAGAAACAACUGCACCUGUAAAAACAUCAGUAACUACAGCAUCCUCAACUUCUGAAAUUCCCACAAGCACAGUUGUGAGUAAAGAAACCACACCUAUUACUUCAACAGUGGUGCCUACAACUUCAGAGAGUACAACAGCAGAAACCACGACUACAGCUUCAUCAUCCACACCUGCAACAACAAACAAUCCAACAACAUCAACAGUUAUACCUUCAGAAUCCUCAACUCUCACUUCAACAACAUUGCCUACAUCUUCAGAAACAACUGCACCUGUAACAACUUCAGUAACUAAAGCAUCCUCAACUAUCAAAAUUUCCACAACCACAGCUGUGAGUACAGAAACCACACCUAUUACUUCAACAGUGUUGCCCACAACUUUGAAGAGUACAACAGCUGAAACCAUGACUACAGCUUCAUCAACCACACCUACAAAAACGAACAAUCCAACAACAUCAACAUUUGUAACUUCUGAAUCUACAACUCCUACUUCAACAGUUAUAGCUACAUCUUCAGAAACAACUACACCUCUAACAAAAUCAGUAACUACAGCAUCCUCAACUACUGAAAUUCCCACAACCACAGUUGUGAGUACUGAAUCCAUAACUCUUACUUCAACAGCUAAGCCUACAUCUUCAGAAUCUACUGCAACUGUAACAUCAGUAACUACAGUAUCCUCAAAAACCUAUAUUCCCACAACCACGGUUGUGAGAACAGAAACCACACCUAUCAUUUCGACAGUGGUGCCUACAACUUCAGAGAGUACAACGGCAGAAGCUAUGACUACGGCUUCAUCAACUAUAUUUACAGCAAAGAACACUCCAACAACAUCAACAGCUGUAACUUCAGAAUCCUCAACUCUCACUUCAACAACAGUGCCUACAUCUUCAGAAACAACUGCACCUGUAACAACAUCAGUAACUACAGCUUCCUCACCUACAACUGUACCUUCCUCUAUGACAUCAGCUCCAAUGUCAUCUGAAGCUCCAAGUACAACAACAUCUAAAACCACAUUGCUGCUUGCAACCACAUCUACUGGAGCUCUCACAUCCACUGUUGUGACUUCAGGAGCAACAACUCUUACGUCUACAACAAUGCCUACAACAUCAGAAAGUACAACUACACCUGCAGCAAGCACAACUGCAGCUUCCACAGCCACAGUGGGGCCAUCCACUACUGUGACUACAGCUUCCGAAAUUACAACUGCAUCUUCAACAUCUACAGCUUCCUCAGCUGCGAUAGUGCAUUCUACUACUACAUCAUCAUCUCCAACCUCAUCUGAAUCUCGAGGUACAGCAACUAAUUAUCCAACAACAUCAACAGCUGUAAUUUCAACAACAAUGGCUACAUCUUCAGAAACAUCUGCACCUGUAACAACAUCAGUAACUACAGCUUCCUCAUCUAUAAAUGUACCUUCCUCUAUGACAUCAGCUCCAAUGUCAUCUGAAGCUCCAAGUGCAACAACAGCUCAAACCACAAUGCCACUUGCACCUGCAACUACUGAAACACUCACAAUCACCAAAAUGACUUCAGAAACCACAACUGCACCAACAACAUCGAUAACUACAACGUCCACAACUACCACUGUAGCUUCAACGACAACAGCAGCUUCUCUUGCAACAACCACAACUACAGCUUCCAUCACCACAACCAUUCCUUCCACUUCUACAUCAGAUCAAACCACACCUAAGGCUGCAAGUACAACAUCAAAAGGUCCGAACACAAAUUCAGAAAGUAUAACUUCACCUGCUGUAACCACAGAUUCCACAACCAUGAUGGAAUAUUCAACUACUACAUCAAGUUUAACCCCAGCCACAACUACUGAAACCUCAACUCUUACUUCACCAACAAUGUCUACAACUUCAGAAAGUACUCCUGCACCUGCAACAUCCACCAUUACAGCUUCCUCUUCUACGAAUAACUAUCCCACAACAGAAAAUCCAUCUCAAACCUCAACUUCAAUUCCAGGCACAAACACACCUACAGCGGCAACAACAACUGCAUUCCGAAUAACAACUGCACCUCUAUCAACCACAACUAUUGCUUUCACUAAUACAGCUCCAGCUCUAAGCCAAGCAGGACUCCUUACCACAACAAAUGCACCUCCAAUUAUCACAACUGUGUCUCCGGAGACUGUAACUAUUGCUGUAACAAUUAUGCCUAUCUCAUCAUCACAUGUAACUAUAUCCCCAACUUUAACUCCAAUAAAAACAACUGAACCUCCAAGAACCCCAACUACACCCAUUACAACCAUGACUGUUCUUCCCACCACUACAGUUCCAGCUGAUAUCUCAACUACAGCUCCAACCACAACAACAGCCACUAUUCCAAGUUCAACUGCAGCUCAAACAACAACUGCAUUUCAAGUAACAACAGGAGAUCUUUUAAGAACAACUGUAGCUUUUACCAACACAUCUUCUGCUCCAGCCACACUUGCACUUUCAACCAAAACAACUCCAAUCCCAAACAUGGAUUCAGAAACUACAACUGCAUCAACAACUACAACUGGAAUUAAUACAGGUCUCACCAGUGCAGCAGAAUUUCCAAUAGCUCCAAUAACAUCAGUUUCAAACACAAAUGCAUCAACAUCCCCAGCAUCUACAAUUCCAAGUCAAUCAUCAAUCAAAACAACACCAGCUGAAACUCUUUCUAGCAAUACUACACCUCUAAACAAUGCAACAAAAGCAGAUGCAUCUGCAACACUUCAAAGUACUUCAAGUUUGCAACCAGAAACUUCAAACAUACCCAAAACAUUGUCAACAAAUGUGACUGGUGCAGCAACAGUCACAACCAUAUUGGUAUUCUCAUCCUUGUCGUCAGUGCCCAAUGAAAAUUUGGUCCUAGGUGCUAUCAGUACUCUUCUGGAAUCUAGACAGUCCCAACUCAAUGGAUCACUGAAGAUUGUAAAAUUUACUUAUCAGAAAAUCUCAGAAACCUCCUAUGCUGUGGUCUUUACAUUUAACGUGAUUAACAUCAGCAUGCCAGAGGACCCUGUGUCUAGAGGCAACACCAACCAGAAAGUGCAGGAUACCAUCAAUAAUGCGCUGAACACUCUUCUGAAUGAACCUGGAAGUCCAACUUUACAACCAAAGUCCUCCAACUUCACAAGCACUUCAAACCAGAUUGAUGGCAGGAUGGAAUACAGCUUCCAGGAUGGAGAUGUCAUACAACCAGUCAGCUUCCUCAAUGAGCUACGUCUACCAACCACUACAACAGUGUUUCCAGAAACAACAACCAGUGUUUCUGUUACUACUCCAAACCUCAUAUCUGGUUCAGCAGUGGUCACAAGCAAGCUGGUGUUCAACUCCUCAUCUCCAGUCCCCAGUGAAUCUCUAGUCCUCAAUGCAAUCAAAACUCUGCGUAAUUCCAGAGAGUCACAGCUCAAUGAAUCGGUGAAGGUGGUGAAUGUCACCUAUGAGAAAAUGUCAGAAACCUCCUAUGCUGUGGUCUUUACAUUUAACGUAAUUAACAUCAGCAUGCCAAAGGAACCUGUGUCUAGAGGCAACACCAACCAGAAAGUGCAGGAUACCAUCAAUAAAGCGCUGAAUACUCUUCUGAAUGAACCUGGAAGUCCAACUUUUCAACCAAAGUCAUCAAACUUCACAAGCACUUCAAACCAGAUUGAUGGCAGAAUGGAAUACACCUUCCAGGAUGGAGAUGUCAUACAACCAGUCAGCUUCCUCAAUGAGCUUCGUUCACAGACAGUCUUAACGACAGCCAGCACUCUGACAACUACUCCACUGAUAGUGCGUGGCAAAGCGCUUAUAUUCAUUCGCCUCGUGUUUGUCACACUGGGCCCCCUGCCAAAUCCAGAGAAGGUUCUUGAGGUGGCCAACACUCUGCUUCAGACGCGUCUCAAAACUAAACAAGACACCAGUACUCAAGACCUGAGUGAUCCUGUGAGCUUUGUCAAUGUCACAUAUACAAAAAUAAAUGAGACGGCCUAUGCUCUCAACUUUGGAUUUGAAAUCAGCAAUAUAACCAUGACAGAGAAGCUUGAACUCAGGAAUGGCACCCACCUGUUAAUACAAGACUCUAUAAACUCAUUGCUGGGCAAGAUCCUUCUCAGUAACUCAUCAGCGCCUAUCAUUAAGUUCCAACCAGCUGAUUUCACGGGUAAUUCCACAGUAAUUAAGGCCAAUGUAGAGUAUGUUUUCUCACCAAGUGACAUCACGCAACCCAGCAUCUUUGUUCAGGAACUUCUCCAACUUAAUGAAGCGAGCACUCUGACAAGCACAACUUCACCACCGAUCUUGACUAGGAGGGCAAUUAUUAAGAUUCGUCUGGAGUUUAUCACACUGGGCCCAAGACCAAGUGAGAGUAAUGUUCUACAGGUGGUUAAAUCUAUGCUGGCCACAAAUCUCACAACUAAACUAACCACGAGAGUAACAAGCGUGAGCGAACCUGUGACCUUGAAUAAUGUUGUGUAUAUCGGAAUUAAUGACACCGCCUACGCACUGAUUUUUGCAUUCGAAAUGAACAAAGUAUUACUGACAGAGAUACAAAGGCAAGAAGCCUACAAAGAAAUCCAAAACAAGAUAAAUGAUUUGGUGAAGCAGAUACUAAAGGACCCCUCGGUUAAUCUGCUCAUUCCAGCCGAUUUCAAGGAUGAUCUCCUUGUGAUCGAGGCCAAUGUUACGUAUGUUUUCUCAGAACGUAACAGUAACACGGGCUCCGGUUUCUUGGUCAGUGCCCUUUUCAAGGCUUUUACCACACCAGCUCCAACCACCAUGAACACUACAAUCUCAAACAACAGUACUAAUGCAGCAUGGAUUGUGGCUAUCAUUGUCCCCUGUGCUAUUGUCAUCGGGCUCGUACCUUGCUGGAUUCUCCUUUGCUGUUUGCUGUGUGGUUGCUGUGCAGCAAUCAGAAGACGCUGGCACAGAAGACAGUCGUACAAUGUGCAGUACACCACUCGAAACAGUCUCUUCUAAAGAGUUCUGAGAUAUUUGACAAAAGCAGGACUGAAAACCAAUGAGAACAUAAAAAUCAUGGAUUUUGGAUAUUCAAUAUGCUAUCAAUACUGCUUCUUUUGUAGUAUUGAAAGUACUAUGUUAAUGCUUCUUUAUAAACUAUUUAUUUUAUUAUCCUAGACAAACAGGUCCUCCAUAAAAUAUUCCUUAAUGUGACAUUUUAAUACGUCCUAUAGUCUAUAAUGAAAUUGUAUUAUUGUUAUUUAUUUGUAUUUAUUUGUAAUAUUCUGUUUAUGUUUACAGUUAAUCUUUUGCAAAUCAUUAAUCUGCUUGACAUUACACAUUUUAAUUUAAAGGGACAAAAGGUAGAACAUUAGCUAUUAUUUAUUCAUACUCCAUGCACUUUAACUUUAUAAAUGUAAAGGAAGCUUGUGAUGUAAAGGAAAUGCAAAAAAAGCUCAUUUACGUAAGUCAUUGGCAUGAACAUGUUAAACUGAAAAA
ensembl:lncRNA